AGAUACAGAGUAAAUAAUGGGCUGGAUACAUCAGAUACAGAGUAAAUAAUGGGCCGGGUAAUGAAGAUACAGAGUCAAUAAUGAUAAUGGGACGGACACUGAAGAUACAAAGAAAAUAAUGGGCCAGACACUGAAGAUACAGAGUAAAUAAUGGGCCGGAUACUGAAUAUACUGAGUAAAUAAAGGGCCGAAGAUACAGAGAAAUUAAGGGCUGGAGGACUCUCCUGUCAGGCUCUGACCCUGGACGCAAUCAGAUGAAGGAUUGAGCAGGUUCUGGUCAUAUUUAAACAUUUAUUUCAGCUUUUAUGAAAAAGUGGAUGUGUAUAUUUGUGGUACUGUUCCUCUAACAUCCAGUAACAUUGACCAAUAA